UAACUCCAAUUCCAAAGCAAGAUAACGGAGCGCGGAGGGAGGCAGAGAGCCCGCUGGAUCUGUCGGGAGAGGACGGAGGAGAGCGCAGAGCGCAGGACGCGGCGGCUGGGAUCCAUCCUGCAUGUUGAGGCCGAUGUGACCCUCAUCCGAGUCAAGUGUUGCUGCUCAGCGUUUCACGGAGACGCAGCACGCCAAAGGGGCGCUUAAGAAGAAGGCGCGCGGCGGUGCGAGGGAGGAGAAACAAAACAAGAAGCCCAAAUUCUUUGCCAAGUUCUUCCAAUCGACCGAUUGGUUCCCUGUUCCGUCACCGGA
rnacentral:lncRNA from 1 species